rnacentral:rRNA from 1 species
UACGGAGGGGGCUAGCGUUGUUCGGAAUUACUGGGCGUAAAGCGCACGUAGGCGGGUCGCUAAGUCGGGGGUGAAAUCCUGGGGCUCAACCUCAGAACUGCCUUCGAUACUGGCGACCUUGAGUACGGGAGAGGUGAGUGGAAUUCCCAGUGUAGAGGUGAAAUUCGUAGAUAUUGGGAAGAACACCAGUGGCGAAGGCGGCUCACUGGCCCGUAACUGACGCUGAGGUGCGAAAGCGUGGGGAGCAAACAGG